UCAGGCCUAACACAUGCAAGUCGAGGGGUAGAAGGAGCUUGCUCCUUUGAGAAAGGCGCACGGGUGCGUAACGCGUAUGCAAUCUACCUUUUACAGAGGGAUAGCCCAGAGAAAUUUGGAUUAAUACCUCAUAGUAUAUAACCUUCGCAUGUUGGUUAUAUUAAAGUUCCAACGGUAAAAGAUGAGCAUGCGUCCUAUUAGCUAGUUGGUGUGGUAACGGCACACCAAGGCAACGAUAGGUAGGGGUCCUGAGAGGGAGAUCCCCCACACUGGUACUGAGACACGGACCAGACUCCUACGGGAGGCAGCAGUGAGGAAUAUUGGACAAUGGGCGCAAGCCUGAUGAAGCCAUGCCGCGUGCAGGAAGACGGUCCUAUGGAAUUGAAGUGCUUUGUACGGGAAGAAACACUCCUACGUGUAGGAGCUGAC
rnacentral:rRNA from 1 species